UAUUUUAUGCGUCUCUUAUUGUCUUUAUAUUAAACUCUUUAAAUUCUAACAGGAAAGUGAACCUCGUUUUUCAGAAGAAGGAAAUGCACUUUAAAUCUGAAGAAGCCAAGAGGUAAAUCCACCUAUCCUUCAUCUCAGUCUUUCAUGCUAAUCAACACAUAUAGUAUGCAAUGAGAAAUAUAAAAAAGCAAAGCUUCAAAAAUAUUCCAACUUUUUUCAGUAACUAACUCACUAUCUGUAUGAUGUUUGCUAAAGAAAGGGUUUUCCUCUAGUGCCUGUUCAGCCUAGAAGAAGUAUGCUCCUUUGGGGCACAUAAAAAUCCUUUUACUGCUCUAAAUUCUUGUGCCUGUGUUUUUAAAUAUACACUUGAUUUAUUGAAAGUAAGACUAGCAGCUACAAGGUUUCUGCAUUUCUUUAUAUUCAGCAUCUCUGAGAGUCUCAGUUCCUUAUCUGUCCAAUUGUUCUGAAGCCUCAGAUAUACAAGACCAAGUCUGAAUGCAGACAUCCUCAUCUUUGCUUGUUUGCUGUUCCUGAAUGAAAGUCACACUUCAGUUGCCAUCUCCUCCUUUCACAAGAAAACCUGAUUAGGUGCUUAAAAAAUUCUUAUUCAAAAAGGGGAAAAAAACAGCACUAAAAUCUUUGACAAAGAGCCAUUUUCACGGUUUGAAAUACUGGAAAAUGGUCCCAAGGCAACAGUGCUGUUCAUGGUGAUUUCAUUGAUUAUUCAGUGGAAUUAAUAAAAAUGAAAGGAUUUUAUCCUGCUCCUUUCCUACUAGUAGUAUUUGGCUACAUUUUUUGCAAACUGUUAACAUGUCCUCCUUUGUAGAAAAGUGACUUAAAAAGAAAAAAAAGAAAAAAAAGAAAAAUAUAUAGAUUAUAUGAAAUUUCUUUAGAUAAACAAUAGUAUAAAAAUUUAAUGGCUUCAAGGACAUUUUGCUGUAAGAUGGUAGUGUGCAAAGAGGUUGUCUUGGUUUGUAAACAUUGUUGGUAAGUUCACAGUUAUAAUACCAUGAUCAACCACAAGGUCUUCUCCAGACAAGAAUGCAGACCUAACACUGGCUAUUCAAGGAAGGGUCACAUGAAAAUAUCUGUGUAAAUCUGAGGAAUACAGACAGUCCCUGCCUUUACCUGUGCUUCAGGAGUGAUCACAGUGAUGCGCACUGAAUUAUGCCACUUGCUUUAUGGAGUUGUUUCCUCUAUUAAUUUUCCCAGUGGAUACUAUUUAAUAGCAUUUUCCAAGUCUUUGGUAAAUGCUUGUCCAGUUAAACAUAUUGUACUUUAAUUGCAAGACAGUAGUAUUUUCUCUGAAUUUACUCUCUUUUCACUUGGUUUAGGAAUUCUAAUUAAGCAUGUAGUUGGCCAAUCCAGUACUCAGCCCAGGGCAAACCCUUCCAAAAACUACAAUAUUUUCUUAGACAUAAACAGAUAGAUGGCUGAACUUGUGCUUCUGAACACCUUCACAAAAUGCUAUGUGAGCUGAUUCAUCACUGAAAUACUAAUGUUUGAAGACAAAUAUUGGUAGUUCAGUGUCCAAAAAGUUCAAUUCUCCCAGCUAUAAAAUGUCUUCCGAAUACCAUAUAAAAGACCUGCCACAGCCGAAUAUUGUUUCAAGCAACAUUCAUUUAAAAAACUUUGAUGUUAGACAAAUCCAUUUAAAAAAACCCAAUCAGAAUCACUCACAGAGAAAUAUAUAAGAAGUGCCCUCUACAAAAGACUAGAAAAGGAGAUACUAGCAUUUUAUAACCUUUAUACUGAGUGGAAAACCUCACUGCCUAACAAAGUUUUAUUCUUAUGAGACCAAUCACAGCCUCUCCUGGUUGUACACUGCAACUGGUGAUUCCUUAUUUUAAGUACUGGCCUAAGCAAAAUAAAAACCCCAGGACAUUUCUUUUUGGCCAGGUAAAAAAGUUCAUUGGUUUAAAAUUUUUAUUCACACAUCAGGUAAAAGGUAAAAAUCCAUCCAGAGGUAUAUUUAAAAAAAAAUUAUGCCCUUCACCACUACCAGGGAAAGGCAGCAUCAGAAAUGUGAUGCAUCUGAAUAUUUCUAUCAACCCCUCGCUUGACUGCUAAGAGAUUCAGGUGAGCCUACAUUUGGUGAAAGGAAGAUUUGUUCCUGUAAUUAAAGCACUGGAGUGGAAGAGCUGUCUCUACCACAGAAUCAGUGUAUAGCUUUAGGCAAUACUGCUUUUAGUCCCUCUUGUAAAACUAGGGUGGCAUUUCUGUUAUCCAGUCUUUUUAAUCACCAACUUUUAAUACAAAUUUUUUUGUUGCUUAAUAUAUAAAGUGUGUUUCUAAAGUGCCACUACUCCACAGGUUCAUAAAAUUUAACGGUAGCUUCUCUGAAAGGCCCAAAUUCCAUUCUGACAACAGAGGCAAAGGGAGGGCUUCCUUUUAUAUGCAGUCAUUACAGUUAAUUACCAUAUAGCCUGCACUGCUAAAGAACCAUUUCCACUGAAUAGCAAUUCUACCAGGAGAAAAAUACAUCUUUGUGCUAAUGAUGCCACCUGCUUAAGUAUUAAACCUCAAGUACCAGCUUCUGUUCCACAAAUCUACCAGCGCACAGAGACCUUCCUUGGGGGUACAGCACCGGGUGUGUGAUGUGACAGAUUUUGUCUGACUGGAGGGCAAACAGGACAUGCCUGUAGGGUAAAUUUUGGUCAAGUGCAUUUCCAUUUCAUUAAAGAUACAUGCUGCACUGAUCCAAAUUGUUUCAAUGCUCUGGAAUCUAUCUCUAUGAUAUUUUCAUAAAUUGAAACAUUUCAGCUUGCUGGUAAACUCCGAAUUAAAAGGUCAGAAUAUUAAGGAAUUUCAUGAUCUGGAAAUAACAGGUUUUGACAUGCUGUUCUAACAAAGCUACAAUUCUCUUCUUCCACCAUGAUGCAUAUAAUUCCAUUCUGUCCUAUAUCCCAGAACUGGAGGUAAACAAAAACACAUUAGAAUGAUACUUUCAGAGAGCAGGAUGCUUUCUGCAGCAUUAACAUCAAGCUUUUAUACAGCUCAGCCUUCUGAACCAUGCAUUUUUUUCUGGACAUUUGGUGUGGGGUUUUUUUUUUAAAUCUUGUUGAUCAUGAAAAGCUGUCUUCUCCUUUCCUCUUUUAUCACAAAGCAAGAUUCCUCAGGGUCUGAGAAAUGAGGUUCUCAGUUCUCUAAUUACAGCUGAGCGGAAUACAGCUCAGUUGCUUCAUAGAUUUUUAAGCAUUUCUGAUUUUGUUCUCAUAAUUUAAUAACAUGGGCAUCUAUGAAAAGAAUAAUAAUGGAAAAAAAUAAAAUAGAGCAUUCAAAUCUUAGCAAGAUGCAAUUCAACUGAAAUACGCCAUAACUUUGGAAAACUGCACAUCAUUCUAUAUUUAUCAAUGCAAAAAUACUUGAAAUUCAUUUUAUGUGUAAUCAGCUUCACUUUCCAUUCUUGUUGCAUCCAUUAUAUACUUUUGCAUAAUUUAAUAUACAAAGAUCACAUUAGGGGAAAAAAAGCCCCACGAACAAAACCAAAACACUUUGGAACUCUCACCUAACAAUAAAAAGAAUUAGAUAUCUGUAGGAAAGUAUAAAGACAAGGUUCAUUUACUCUGUCACAGAUAUGAAGUUUCCAUCAUAUGUCUUUUAUCUGCCUUCCAGUCUGCCAGAUCUUUCAGGAAUUUAACACAUGACUUUCUUGAGUAAAAAGAAGCAGUGGAGACAAGCACAUGCUUUAGUACUAAGAGUGUUGUUAUAUUUUUUAUAUUCAGAUUGUGUUUCAUCUGAUAUAUAAUAGGCUGAAGACAUUAACUACAAAGGCAGAAUUUCUAGUGUACCUGGAUCAAAAACUUCAAGCAACACAAAAUAUUUAGUUGUUAAGUUUGACUGAAAAUACACAUUUUCUUUUUCAUUAACAUACAAAAAAAUUCACUAUCAAAUAAAUUCAUUCAAUAUCAGUUGACAAAAGGCAUUGAAUAACUUAUUUGCCUGUCCAUAUGCAGUAGAGAUAAAGGAAAGAUUUAGUUAUUCAUCUGCUAUUCCUAAUCUCAAUUAUACAAUUGAGAAAUUCUGGUCAGAAGAACCCAUAGGACCUCAGACCAAAGUUCCCCCCUGCCAGCAUAGUCUCCAGCACUGGGCAAGGGCAGAUGGUGAUCAGCAGCCAAAUGCUGACACUGCCCUUGAAUACACUUACAUUUAUUUGCCAGUGAUCUCUAGCCCAGGGAUACUGUAUGCUAUAAAUAGUGUCUUUGUGUUCAAUAGCUCUGGCUACAGUUUUCUUCUUUGUGUAGGAGCCUCUUUAUGGAUGUGGAUAAUUGUGUUAGUCUGGUGGAGCCAUACACAUCGGUAGACUGAAAUACCAAAGACAGAUCAUGUCUCCAGUGUAAGGAUACUGGGAAGUUAAAGAGUUCUCUGCUUCCACCUGUUGGUAAAAAUGACCCCAAAACUCAGCCAUGAAGCUAGUCUGCCUGCAUGCUCUUCUACACAAAUGCUUAGGAAGCAAAAAUCUUCAUAAUUUGCUGUGACACAGUUGCCGAAGAUUUUUACAUGCUUAGUCCCUUCUGGUGGAAGCUCCCAGAAAACAGAAAGGCUGUCCACAGCAAAAGAGCUGUGUUAGCCCUGGUGAUGGCCCUCAGUGGCAAUAGCUGCAUUAGCUUGUGGAGCCUUGUGACGAGAAUGAGCACUGCUUCAGCCACAGGUAUGAAGCUAUGAGAAAAGCUGAGUAGACACUGCAUACUUACAUAAGGGUCUCUUCCAAGUCAGGGGCAACAAACUUUGCCAAAAUCAGUAUCAUGGAGGAAACUAACACAAGCCAUUGUUCAUGGUAAUGAGUCUCAAAAGUCCCUUUGAUUUUCAAAUUAUUUCCCAAAACUUUCAAGAUGCCAUUAAGAUGAACUGCAUUAAUUUAUUUAAAUAACAAAUACUGCCUUUUAUCUAAAGGGUCUUACUUGUUGCUUACUCUGCUCUCUUAUAUAAACCAUCCCAUCCUCAAAAUGCAAAAUGCCUACACUUCCUUCAGCAGUGAUUGCACACAUGAUCUCCAGGCCAGCCCAGACUGAGCACCACUUCAUGGUGUGCAACUCCCAUGUCACCUCUGAGAGGAUAUCAAGGGUUUCCUCUGCCUGUGUUUGCUGUCCCAAAUGUUUUUGUUCUGCAGAGCUGUCUAGUUUUUUUGAGUAUUAUCAUCUACAAGACCAAGUAUUCUCAAGCUUUCUCCCGGAAGGAGGAAAGAGUCAAGAGAAGGCCGCAUAAAGUAUGGUGCAUUGUUGAUCCAACAGUUUCUGUUUUCUCACACAUUGAAGCCAAUGCAUGUGUCCUCUAUUAAAACUGCUACAAGUCGCUGUCCUUUAAUUAUCUAAGACCUUAUGGCAGGCCAUAUCACCUCUCUCCCACCACAGAUGGCCGGUGCAGAUAGAAGAGGUAACCCAGGUAGGCAAGGUCCAGGGGGUAUCAUCUCCUAGCACCAAAAGGUCUCCUAGCUUAACAGAUGUGGGAAGAGAUAAACACACUCAGGUGACCAAAAGGCCUGUUUUUACACUAUAAAAGUAUUACAGCUUAUCACAGAGGCAGAAGUCUUUUAAACACUCCUUGGGAAUGUGCAAGGAGAUUUCUCUCCUUAAGUCUGGACGUGGGCUUUUGUGGUCACUUUCCUGGGAAUUGAGAGAGUGGAUUUUUCAAUGUGUACUCCAUCAAAGAACUGGAUGGCAAGAAACACUGGAUUCUAAGUUAUACUAUUUCUUAGCUAGCUGUAAAUUUAAUGGUACCUUUAACUCCACAUGUAUACUAGUAUCCCCUUUUGUCUUACCCCUGUGUAGUCAUAGUCUAAGUUUUAUGUCUGUUAGGUUUGUGUCUAUUAAUAAAUAACUCAUUUUAUAAUAGACCAAAUCAGCCAUUAUUAAAGAAUUUGCGAAUAAGAGUGGGUCUUGGGGUGCUGGACACCUCAAUAACACGACUGCCUGCUGCCAGAGGUCUGGGCAAAGACAAGAGCUAAUUUAAACCCACAUCAUCCAUUCAUAAUAGACCUUCAAAACACAAACACUCAUGAUGAAAUAGCCAGUUCAGUUAAAGGCAAAAAAUCCCAUUAAAACAGCAAGAGGUUUCAAAUCUCUGAGAUUUAAAAUGGAGACUACCCACUCAGCUGGACUGCUGGUUCUUACAGCUUGCAUUCUUUGUAUGUUUUCAGCGAACUGUUGAUGGUUCUUCUGCUAUCUGCAACUGACAGAGAUGCUUUUUGUUACAACUUCCAGGCUUGCUGUUUUCUUGGAAAAUGCUUUACCAACUGUGCCUCUGAAUCUUACCUCUCUGUUAAAACAUAUUUAGGCUGUUCUUACCUUUCAAUCUGUUCUCCAUUUUCUUCUCACUUCUUCAAGUUUUUCCACGUUAUUAAAAAUGCUCCUUCUGUAUUUUGACCUUGCAUAUUUCUCACACCACAUCUUUCAUUUUCUUUCAAGAGCUACUCACUUGUUUGGCUUUCAAUGUUCUUUGUCUCUGAACUCUUUUGUUUUCUUUUUUGUAAUCAUUAAUACUUCUAUACAAUUUAAAAUCAUUGUGUAAAAUGAAAUACAUUCUGAAGUACAAAGCUGACUAACCCCUUUCAGUGUUUUUUUAACCGUUACCAGGUUUUGACUUCUAGGACAAUAGCAAAAAGUUUCAGUGUUCCUCCAUCAAAUCAGGGACAAAAUCAGCAAUCAUUUUCUCAGCCUACACAAUUCAUAUAGAAAUUCCAAGCAAUUUGUCCACCUCAUGCUCCAUAGAUCAUUGAUAGCUUUCUGCUAAAAUAUCAUCAUGCAGUUUCGAAUGAAUUCCCAUACCAUUAUACAAAUAUUACAUAAUUUGAAUAAUUACUAAUAAAUGUAGGAGCAAAAAGUAACAAGAUUGCUGUAGCAGGAUACUAUUCAGCAUUCUGGAUAAGGGAGAGAAAUAUAAGAAAAACUCAUUUAGGGAAAUAUGAGGGUCAAUAUUAUUAUGUAAGUACUGUUUUUCUAUUUGUUGAGCACACACACACACACCUUGUUUCCGCUGCCUAGAACAUAAACUAUGUUUUCGUGACCUAUUCUUUUCCCAGUCCACUUUGGUCCUACUGCUAAUAGUUAACAUAUUUUCUAGCAGACAUCUGACUUUUGGCAUAAAAACUUUUCAUUGGUUUCUGGGAAGAUCAGGGAAGGGUCAUUAAACAGCCAGAAGAUAAAUGUGUACAGCCCUUUACCAGUUUUAGGCAUAUUGAAAUCCUACAAAUUACUGUAUCUUUCUAUCAUGACAUUUUAUUAUGUCUUGUUUUGUCAACCAAAUCCCAGAUGAAAUUAAAAAUGCUUUUAAAUUGUUAUGCUGCACAGGUAUUUUGUAUUGUUUUGCUAAGGCAAUCCCUGCCACAAAAACCUGUAUCUCAACAAUAUUUAAGCGUUUGUUUCUAAGGAAUCUCAGAUGACCACAACUUCAACAACUGACCUUUGUGUAAAAGUUCUGUGUAAUUUGUGCAAUAUGUAACAUGUAGUAUUUAAGUGGCCAUCAGAGAGCCUGUAGAUCUUCAAUCCAGACCUGACUUCCCCCUAAGCAAUCUGAUUUUAUAAAAAACACCACGAAAACAGGAAAGCUAAUUUUGUAGUGGAUAAAGUGGCAGGGUGGCCAGUGUCUUCCAGUUUUAUGACACAGGCUGCAUAACAGGAACAUGAAGGUUUUAUAUCUACCCAAGCUUCAACAUAUGUAAUUGACCAUUAAAGAGCUUUUCCAAGAGAUUUCCUGCUAACAGCAGGAGUUUUCUUUCUAUGCCAAAAAUGGCUUUCCUUUAAUGAAAGUUGCAUGAUGUAGUGCAGAGAAAGCAUGGAAACUAAUCAAAGUAGGGUACUUGGAAAGAUGUCAGAUGAAAAGACCUGGCAGCACCUUUGAGAGAGGAAGAGCUGUAAAUAGAUAUUCAGCUGUUCAACAGACAGUUCAAAUGGGAUGAAAAAGGAAGACAGCAGAGCUCCUCAUUCUGCUAGUUAAACCCAACUAUAUAGUUCCUUAUGUUCACAAUCUACUUGCCUAAGAAAGACAAUAGAAGGGUUUCAUGUACAAAAUGCUAACUUGCAAAAACAUGCUGGAACUACCCAUAUACAGAAUUAUUUAUUGAGAUAUUUAGCCAUACCAUGCUAGUGACAUGAAAAUAUACAUCAUGCUUCAGACUGUAGGCUUUUUUCCUUCCUUUCUCUGGAAAAUUUUCAGAACAACCUUGUAAUGCCAAAAAGAACUAUUAAAUCAUUGUGUAUAUCAAAACAUUUUAACCAGUUUUAUUUACUAAAGCUUAGCUGAAGAUAUUUCACACUGGAAUUGGAUAAGACUUUAUAUACGACCCUUGAAAAGCCACUAUUGGUAAACAGGAGGCAACUUUCUCUACUAAGAUGUAAAUCAAGCUGAUAAAGAUUUUAUCAAUUAAUAUACUACUUAAAUUGCAACCAGGCCUAGAGGAAACAACUGAACUGGACAUUGCAUAAAUUUAUACAAGAACAGGAUAUUUUUUUCCGAACACAAAAUUAAGUGGGGAAAAAACUGUAUUUCUGCUUGAGAAUUCAGACUAUUUUUUUUUCUGCUUUCUUAUAAGAAUUCAAUACAUUUAAAAUAUGCACAAUUCACAACCUUACUUGAAAGCUGUUCUGUAUAUCUUAGAGAAGUGAAUAUCUAAGCCUAUCUAAAUAAGUGUAUUUCAGGUCAAGCAGUAAAAGAUUCUCACACUGAAACUUCACCACUUCAGGCCUGUUUUUAUGUUCACCCAAGAUACAGCCAGUUUAUUUAGGGAAGAAUUAUUUAUCUGCCAGGUUGCAAAGCAAGUGAAAAAUAAAUUCACACACACUGAACUUUAGAUAAGCUAUGCUCUAAAGGUACUAUUGGUGUAGCUUGAAUAACAAAAAUGUGACAUUUAGUUGAGAACUAAUGGGACAAACACUAAAGAAAAAAAUCUACUCAUUUAUUUAAUAUUCAUCUGUAUUCCUCAUGGAUCAAUUUCAAUGUCUGAAACUACAAUAAUAGUGACAGCAGUGCUCAUUCAUUCUAGCAAGGAAAUGACCUCUGAGGACCUUGAAUUCUGUUUUAUGUCCCUGGAGUUUAAGAGCACUUAUGCCACUCUUAUUUAGGGUGUCUGCUGAAAACAAAAUGAGAUUUGACAGGUAGGACAAAUGUUAUAGUGUCUGCAUGACAUUUAGUUUGAUUAUGAAAUGAGUGUUGGAGAAUUAAGAAUCAGCAUCACAGCUCUGCAUAUUAGUGGAGAAGAGUACAGGACACUAAAAGUAUAAAGACCCUGCCACAAUGAGAAGACUCCAAUCCCUGCGUGCUGGUUUGGAGAAACAUUGAGCAUGGCAGACGCUGAUCAGUAAGACACAUUUAAGGUCUAAUAUAAUUAUGCCUCAGAUUUCAGUGCUCUCCAGUAGUAUCACAUAAAUGGGGAACAUCACAGUGACAAUUUAAGUUGCUAUGUGAGAGGACUUCACGUAUAAAGAAACAAUGGGAAAAGGGAAAAAAAUUGUGUUUUUUAACAUUGGUAGUGGGGCAUCUUAUCUGACUUAACAAAACAAUAGUCAAACUGCUGAGAUGGAACUACUGGACCAAUCUAAAAGUAUUUGUCUUCUUUACAAAAAUUAAAGAACUCAGAAAAUUUGUUGCCUUAUGAAUUCUGGUAAAUUUCAGUUUAUAUUUUACAUUAUUUGUCCUCAAAAUAAGAGAUUUAUACUAACCCAGAAAUAUCUUUGCUUAACUACUGCCUGAAGUACAUACAUAUUGUCAUUAAAAGCACAGAAUUCACAAGAUGGUUAGACACAGGGUUCCAAUUCAAACAAUUCUUUCUCCAUUCAGUAGACCUGAUGUGUUUGGGCUGUGGAAUCUACCACCCGGUGCUGGUGUCACACAGAGCUGGAAUGGCAAAAGCUUUCUAUAUCAUUAGCAAAAAUGUUAUAAUUUCACUGAUGACAACUUCAUACUAAAAAUCAGCUUUUCUGAUGCUCCUGUAUGAUAAAGCCUCAUAUCAACCAUGAUUUCUUAUGCCUAUCAAAUGCCCAGAGUCUAUUCUUGUGUAUACUUUCAUUUGACCAUAAGGCAGUAAAUGAGACCAGAAAUCACUCACAUUUGCAGGAGAACAUGAUGUUAUUAGGAAAAGAGAAGAAACAAAAUUGAGCCAUUAGACUCAGGAGUGAUGAAUGCUACCCUGCCAAACACCGUGCCAAUCUCCUUGCCAAUGCCAGAUGGUUUCCUUAGGAGGCUGUUCAAUAGUCUCAGAAACCUCUGAGAUUGCUGUCAAUCAGGCCAAAUUUUAAUUUGCAUUUUCAUCCUGCUAUUUUUAUGUAGAGCUUUAUGCUCAUAUACUCUCUGGAAGUUUUUUUAAAAAAUCCCUUCUGAACAUCUAACUCCAUGCAUCACAAAUCAUCUGGUUUCAGUAUUCAACCUGAUUCUAGACACUUUUCACGUUACAUUGCAUUAUUUAAGCAAGAGACACACUUAAAUCACACAUUCAGGUAAGGAGUUCAGCUAUUUUUAACACAGCAAAGUUAAACUACUUCUUCCAAUAGCACUGAGAAUCAGCAAGUCAGCCUGCAGAACUCUGAGUUACCUCUGGCAUCCCAGUGCUUUCAUAUUUAGGAAAUGGGCUGAGAAUAAGAUUGAUCACUGAUUUUGCAUUUUAGCAACUGUGUAAAAUUAUGCGUCUCACAUUUAUUUAAUGGACUGGAAAGUCUGCUGCACUUUAUCAAGACUGCUAACAAACCCUAGCUGUAUAUCAGGAAUCCAGAAUAUUUAAUAGCUGCAGAGUUUAAAAGUAAGUCACAGUUUUCUUUGAUAUGAUUUUUUAUCACCAAUUUUUUUGUCAAUGUGUACAUGAAAAAUCUGUCAUUUACCAUCUGUUAGUCACAUACUUUUUUUUCUUCCCAGAAGAGUUCUUUGUUGUAAGACUUUCUGUAUCUUCUUAAUUUUUUUGAGAAGACAUGAAGUCUUCUUGCCCUAAAUGUUACAGCAAGCAGAGUAGCAUGAAUAUCAUUCAGUGUAUUUUUAGAGGCACUCAGUGCAAAGGAAGGUGUUCUAAAGAACAUAAUCCAAAGAGGCAAAUUGAAGAACUAUUGGGUGGGGACCCAGUCUGUAAGAUAAAAAAGAAAUACAUUAGGAAUCAUAUGGCUGCAACAUAUACAACUAAAAAAAAUGGAACGAGAGCUCAUCUCUACACCCAAAAUUAGAAAAAGUUUAUCCCAAGUAUUGUGUCUUAGGCCUUUCCCCACUUCAGAUGCUCUGUCAAAGCAUUGAUUCAUCUUAUCAGUGUAAAUAUUAUCUGAACAUCUCUCUCCCAGUCAUUGCUUUUCUAUGAUCAGCAUGAAGCAGAACUGUAUCAGACUCAGGUAAGGCUGCCACAUCCCUACAUGCAUUUUCACACAUGCUGGUUAUUAAAUACUUCAUACUUCCACAAAAUCUGAAGGAAAAAAUAAAGUUUAACUUGAAAGUUCCAUUAUCCAAUACUUUGUUUGAAGGGGUAAAGUUUGAGAAACAGAGAUUUUUUUUCAUUGGGCAGGCAGAAAAUUUAUAAAAAUAAAACAGGUGGUUCCAUGAAAUUUCAUUUGACAUGAUACAGGUGAAGCAUGAGAGUGCACAGCAAAUACUUUAAGAGAUACCAUUUCUAUCUUUCAUUUUCUGGCACACAGUAAUCUGUCCUGACUUGCACAAUGUCCUUGCUUGCAUCCUUGUCCAUGUUACCUGCACAACACUUCCUUGACAGCAUACUUACCAGGAAUUCUUGUCAAUUCAAAAUGCACAUGUCCAUAAGACCUUCCUUUAUUGAAACCUAUAGCCAAGAAAAGUUGAUAUUAUUGAAAAUUUCAGAUUAGUAGCCCUUCUGUUGAUUAAUGGUUGCUUCUAUUGUACUCUUAUAAUAAAAUUAGAUAAAAUUUCUUAUGCUAUUACUUGUACAGGCAAAUACAAUAUCAUACUUUUCUUAGAAAAGGAUCAAUCAUUGUUCUUGUAAAUUACAUAAAGCAUCAGUGAGGGUGAUUGUGACUGCAAAUGUACACACACCACUUAUGUUGAAGUAACUGAAGCAUAAAACAAAUUGAACCAAUCCCAUAGAAGGCAGAAAGUUACCUCCUUUGUGAACAAACACCCCAUGAAAAAAAAUCAGAGUUUUGCCUUACUGCAGAGAAAAGGGUCAAGAAAGAAAUGAAUUUGUGAUAUUUUUAGCAUAGAACUGAAACAUAAAUCAUGAAGAAAACUUUACCAAGUUUUAGGAGUCUUUCCUCAUUUUUUAAUACAUAAUUUUCUAGAUAGUACAAAUAGCACUUUUUUUUUUGCACAAAGCAGAAAAGCUGAGAGAGAGCCGCUGAAAUUUUCAAAACACUGCAACUGUUUAGAUAAAUUCUGAUAUUUAUGAUUUGAACAGCUGUACCAGAGAAGUCACAGGAUGCACUAGCUAGGAGGUUCCUGCAAGCUUCCUUCAGGUGAGGCAGGCAGUAACAUCACUUUUAUGAAUAAUUCAUGUUGCAUAAUUGUUUUUCAGGUUUCUGUCAGAAAUACUAAUUACAUUGUUAUUAUAGUGCCAAAAGGGUAAUUAAAAAUUUAUUACUGUAACAGUCAAUUUUCUCCAAAGCAAUGGCUAAAGAUCAAGUCAAGUUCUUGGUUUCUUGUUGGUGCACUUAAACUGCAGAAAUGUAAACCAGAGAAUGUCAUGCAUCUAUAGCAAGUGUUUUAAAUAACCUGCGUGGAUCUUUGUUUUCUGUAGAACUGCUGUGCUUAGUCACUUGGUUAAACAAUUUUAACAUUGAAACCAAGGGAGGAAGGUAGCAUUUCAUUUGAACAGACAAUAACAGAUUCCAUGCUUUCAGAGGGAGGUGUAGCAUAUAAAAUCUCUGCCGAUACAGUUACACAAUCCUUUCUGAGCUUAUGAAAGUAUCACUCAGUCACUUGACUAGCUGUCAGAUGCAGUAAUCAGUUCCUUAAAAGUUUAUGAACAGUAAAUCAAAUCACUAAGAAUAUUCAAUGCUAAUUUGGCAAGUUUCCGUAUUCCUACCACUGGAAAAAAAGAGAAAAACAAUAAAGGAAGUGGGAUAGUGCCACACUCAGGUGCUGCACAAGAAUGCUUCGUGUUAUACAUUUGUUUGUUCUAGGGUUGAUAAGAGUGACCAAAAAAAUCAGAAAAGAUAGCAAUUCAGGAAGAUUGUUAGGAUCACAAUGGAGAGAACUUGGAAUAAGCUUCAAUAUUUGCAGUAAUUUGUAAACAAAUAACCUUUAAUUUACAAUUGUUUUUUAGUAGACCACAAUGAGUUUUUGUAAAAUUACCUCAAUAUUUAAUUUCAUAAAGCUAAACAUAAAUCUUGAUAUUAGGCAGGGGGGAGAAAUGAAAAA